UCUUGAGUGGGAAUGCAAGUUGAUGAUACUGCCUUGGUUCUGCCGAGGUGCUGGGUUUGUUACCUACCAUGGCAUUUGCAGCAUUCAUGGAAAAGUCAACAUAAUGAAACAGGCAGAUGGCAUCUUGGUAUUUCUGUGAAAACAGGUUUCCCUCCUGGACUCUCUGAAGGCAGCUCAGCGGACACACCUUCAAAAUGGCAAAGAUCAAUUAUGGUUCCUAGUGGGACACAACUGCUAACCUAUUCCAACUCAGCGCUCUCUCUCUCUCUUUUUCCCCUCAUUCUUCCAACUUGUAAUUGUACAAAUUUUCAAAUGUGCCAAGAAGCUGAAAGAAUAGUGCAGUAAAAUUCAAGUUAUCACUCUGAUAUAUUUGAUUAAUAUCUCUUUAUAUACAUGAGAGCAGCAUGUGGAAUGAUAGACAAUAGAGACUCAGAAGGGUAAGGGUGGCUGGCGGUGGGUGUAUAACAGAGGGGUUUCUUGUUGGGUACAAUGUAUCUGUCUGCAGUGACGGAUGCACUGAAGGCCCUGACUUUACCGCAACUCAAUAUAGCAGUGUAGCAAAACUGCACCUGUGCCCCAUGAAUACAUACGAAUCUAAAAAUUGUAAAAUAAAGUAAUAUCUCUUUUUGUAGAUACAGGGAGAUAUGUUGCAUAGCGUGUGUGUGUGUCUGUGUAUGUGUGUGUAGAGAGAGGCAGCAGGAAUGAAGAGAUUAAGAUUUUGUGACUGAGCCAUUCUAAAGUAACUUAAACAUAAAACAUGCAUGGACAAAUGUCUGUGUGACAAUAAACCUGAAUAUAAACAUGAACGAAUAUGCCUAUAAACACAUCCCUGGAUAGAUAGCUUAUGAACAAAUUCCCUACCCCAUCUCCCUUACUGGUUACCCUGUGAACACAGGCAGGCAGGGAACAGGACCCAGCUAGGUUCCCUCAUCUCAUCCUCUUGCUUCCAGGCAGGUCCUGCAUCCACUGGUGCUGCACAGAGGGCUCCCACCCUGCCUUGGUCUGUUUCACAGGUGCUCCCCUAACUCUCUCUGCCUCCACUGCCUUACCUGGGUGGAGCUGAGGCUGCCCUGACCAAGAACAGCACCACCCACCUGUGCCCCCAAGACCAGGAAGUUAGGAGGAAUCACGCAACAGGUUCUGCACUUGCUGGAGAAUGACCCCAAAAGAUAAGACCAAUUUGUUGACUACCAACUGAUUUGGCUGAGCCAUGGACAGGGAGCAAAUGAGCAUUGCCUUUACCUAUGACAUGCAAGAGGAUUCUGAGACCUACCUGCAUCAGGUGGCACAGGGCUUGGUCAUCAUGUUUGUGUUAGGUGUCAAUGAUGCCAGGAUCUUCAGUAUGGGCAGCACUGCUUUGAGCUUUUGGAUCUUGAGCACCAGGGCCUGGGCCGCCACCCACUCGUUCCCUUCCAGGAAGACCUGGUCCAGCUCCAGCUGUUGCUCAAGCAACUCCUCAGCUUGGGCCAGCUCAGCUGUGUCUGGGGCUCAGGGCCCUGGUGACAGGGAGUAGGGGAGGAGCAUCAGCCAGGGCAGGGGGCUGAGGCCCUUGGAACCUGUAUUGCAAGGUCUCGUGCUUCCAAGGAUUAAGACUGGACACCUUUGGGGACCAUUACUCAGCCCAGCACAUCUGCGUAUGUUGAAGUCACCGAGUCAAGGAGACAGCCCUGCUGGAGAGGGUGACAGUGAAGCAGCAGCUACAAUCAUCAGGAUUGAGAGGAAUGGUCUGGGGCCUACAGGGAAUGGUUACAAUGAGGAAAUGGGGGCCUAAUCUGAUGACAGCUUAGGGGUUUUGGGGAGGCGGAAGGCAGAAAGGUCUGAGACCCACAGUGAGGAGCAAGAACAAGAACCCCACCUCACCUCUGAACCCAGGGAGACAAGUCCCUGGGGAAACUCCCCGAUGUGGGAGGACUUCGGAGGGGGUCAUGUCCUCAGGGAGACUCAGGUUGCUGCUGGGGCUGGGAGGGGCAGGCAUAUCCUGAGAGAAGGUGUGGAGGUUUUGCUGAUUGUGGACUGAGAAUGCCAUGGGGUACACUGGAAAGAUUUCUGUGACUGGGGAGGUGGGGGAGACAGAAUAGGGCUGUGCAGAGCCUUGUGGGGAUGUGAGUACAGGGUAUGUGGGGGACCCAGUGUGACUGACACAGACAGGGAAAUGACAGGAGGAGCUCGGUCCUGGUGGACUCGAGGCAGACGGUGGUGCUAAGGCUGUGGGAGACGAGGGAGGAGGAGCAGGGGUGGCUCUCAGCUGGGCUCUGUCCAUGGAGAUGAGGACAGUGAGGUGGUUAGGUCUUAGUGCUAUGGGAACUUUUCUUGACCUCCUGAUGACUGGAUGGAGUGUCUGAUGGAGGAGCAGGCUUAGAAGAUUCACUGGUGACCCUGAGGGAGGGGAUGUGCUCCCUCCAGGUCUCAGGUCUGCCCUGACACCUCUCUUUGUGGCUUAGGGCUCCCUACUGUAAAUUAUUGGCAGUUAGUCCAUUUUGGAGUCCAUAACUUAAAGCAGAAACUCAGAUGGUUGAAACGUCACUUUCAUGAAGGGUUGUUAGUAGUGUACCAUUUAGAUUGUCUUGCAAAAGUCUCAUUUGUUUUGUUUUGUUUUUCUAAGUGACUGCCAAUCUUGUUUUAAAUUUACAAAUGUAGUUAGUUGGUUGUGGGUUGCUUAACCUUAUCUGUAACAACAGUAGUUUGGGUGUCUUAUAUUCUAAUAAUUAAGACUUUAAGCUGUGUACACAUUGCAAUUCAAGUAUGAGUCAUGCAUAACCCUAGGACUAAGAGACAAGACGGACAGUCUCCCUCUCCUAAAAUUUUGCAAAAGUUCUGGUUUCUUUUUCCACUCAGUGGGUACAAGUCAGCUAAUGAUGAACAUGAGGUCUUUGUCCUCAUUUAAAGGUGCUUCGAAGAAUCACUGCCCCCUAGGAAGGCCUCCUUGUCUUGGUCCAGUACCCCUACCCCAUGGCAGAGGCCAUCUUCCCUCCCAGUGCACAGCGAUGUCUCAGAUAACAAACUGGUUAGCUGCUGUCCACUCUUGGGCAGUUUUGUCUUCUAAAACAUGGGUUUUUAUCAGAGAAUCUUCCUGUUCCCAGAUUAUCAAAACUGGGGCCAUCCACUUCCUUCUGAGCCACCUCUGCCCGCGGGCUCAUGGCUGUGUCCUCCAGUCACAACAGAAAACCCCUUCAGAACACCCUUCAGGAACGCGGCAUCUCCUCACAGGCUCACAUAUGCUUGGUGUGUGCACAGAGCUCUUGCUCUCGUUUAGGAGGUGUGUGGGGAGGCUCACUAGUCCAACAGAGCUUGGUACCAGUGUCAUAUGCCAGGAGCCAAGGUUACAAGGGAUACAAUGUUCCCAGACCUACCAGAGAAGGCAAACCCCUACAGCAUGCAGGGCUAGACAGGGACAAGAAACAAGUUCAUUCUAGGCCGCAAGAAGAGGGAAAGGGAAAUUAUGGACAUACAUCUGAGACACUGCAGAUUUGCUUUCAGAUCACAGACCAUGGCAACAAAGCAAGUCACACAAAUUUUUGUUUUUCCAGUGAAUAUAAAAAUUAUAUUUAUACUCUACUGUAGCCUACUAAAUGUAUAAUAACAUUAUGUGUAAAAGAACUAUGCAGAUACAUUAAUUUAAAAUUACUCUAUUGCUGAAAAAUGCUAACGAUCGUCUGAGGCUUCAGCUCAUCUUAAUCUUUUUGCUGGGGGAGGGUCUUGCCUCAAUGUUGAUGACCGCUGGCUGAUCAGGAGGUGGUUCCUAGAGGCUUCUGUGACAAUUUCUUAAAACAAGACAAUGAAGUUUGUGGCAUGGAUUGCAAAGCCGGAAUCAGUACUUCAAUAAGGUCAAUAUGAGUUUUCGAGUUAAGUGAACCUGAAUAUGAGCCCUCCAGGCCUUUCCACCAGUUAGCUAUAGAGCCUUGAGUACAUCUGACCACAGCUGGCGCAAGCAGACACUUGGCCAGUGGGUGAGUGCUGAAUGAAUUUCCUCAUCCGCAAACCAGUGAUAUAAUUCCUUCCUCGCAGAAGAAUAAAUGAAAAAAGACACUGUGUCAAGAAAAGCAGACACGACCUGUGGAAGGCUGGGCACCAGUGCUCUGAAGCAAGUUCUGCCUAAACUGGUAGAAACAUUUUUCACAUUAGGAAUAGGAGUUUUUCAAGAUCCUGUCUGAGGCCAGGUUGAGAGCAGAGCAGGAGUAGGGUUCUGGGCAGGGCCAGGCACUGAAGUGAAGACAGGCCUGGAGAGAGCCGGCUCCUGGUGGCUGCUCAGUGGCUCAAACAGCUCCUUGCCUCACCUGCCACUGCCUCCUUCUCCCUUGGCUCUGGCGGUGCUGUUUCCUUCCCCUCCUGCCCUCCUGGUCCCUGGGACCCCACGGCUCCUAAACAUGCUACUCCCAGAGCCCAAAGGCAAGCAUGGAAGAGCAAACAGCUUCAGGGGCAGUGGGAAGAUAAGGCCAGCUCCCAUGUCACUGCAAGGGCGCGAGUGGAGGAGGUGAAGGGGGUCAGCACAGGAGUGGGGGAAAACCUCUCAAUCCCACCCUUCACCACCCUCACCCCUGCAGCGUUUUGCCUAUUUCCAGCUCUCAGCUCCUUCCCACCCUAGCCCAGCCCAGACCUCGUCCCCUUCAGAGCAGCACAGUCCAGAGAUUUUCUUGAACAGGAAUAACCCCUCAUCGAACAGUUAAUUAUUUCUUAGUGGGGAGGGACAGUCAGUCAUCUUUUUCCAGUGACCCCAUAUCCUUGUUGAAGGCGUCCAGUUACAAUCCUGA